rnacentral:lncRNA from 1 species
UGACAUUAGAUCUGGAGAGAUAGAAGCAAAAUUCAAUGAUUUUUAAAAUGUUUUUAAAUGAUGUAUGUUAAACUCUAACCUGUCCACAUUGGCAAACUCAAUCAUUUUGUCACCAUUCUUCAGUCUUUUCACAAGUGACAACACAAACACGAUACAGUCAGAAAAUGACCAUGUUGUGUUUCUGUGGUCCAUCUGUUGCUCACUGAUAUCAAUUUACUAUUUCAAUUCACAGAAUAAAGGACAAAAUGAUUAUUCUAGAAAAAUUAAAUCUAAAGGACAGAGAAAUGAAAUAAAGAACUGUCCUCUUAAAUAAAAGAUGUAUG